GACGAACGCUGGCGGCGUGCUUAACACAUGCAAGUCGAACGGAAAGGCCCUGCUUUUGUGGGGUGCUCGAGUGGCGAACGGGGGAGUAACACGUGAGUAACCUGCCCUUGACUUUGGGAUAACUUCAGGAAACUGGGGCGAAUACCGGAUAUGAGCUCCUGCUGCGUGGUGUUGGUUGGAAAGAUUCGGCGGUUGGGGAUGGACUCGCGGCUUAUCAGCUUGUUGGGGUGGUAGUGGCUUACCAAGGCUUUGACGGGUAGCCGGCAUGAGAGGGUGACCGGCCACAUUGGGACUGAGAUACGGACCAGACUCCUACGGGAGGCAGCAGUGGGGAAUAUUGCACAAUGGGCGGAAGCCUGAUGCAGAAACGCCGCGUGCGGGAUGACGGCCUUCGGGUUGUAAACCGAUUUCGCCUGUGACGAAGCGUGAGUGACGGUAAUGGGUAAAGAAGCACCGGCUAACUACGUG
rnacentral:rRNA from 1 species